GUGGGGAAUAUUGGACAAUGGGCGAAAGCCUGAUCCAGCCAUGCCGCGUGUGUGAAGAAGGUCUUCGGAUUGUAAAGCACUUUAAGUUGGGAGGAAGGGCAGUAAGUUAAUACCUUGCUGUUUUGACGUUACCGACAGAAUAAGCACCGGCUAACUUCGUGCCAGCAGCCGCGGUAAUACGAAGGGUGCAAGCGUUAAUCGGAAUUACUGGGCGUAAAGCGCGCGUAGGUGGUUUUGUAAGUUGGAGGUGAAAUCCCCGGGCUCAACCUGGGAACUGCCUCCAAAACUGCAUGACUAGAGUACGGUAGAGGGUAGUGGAAUUUCCUGUGUAGCGGUGAAAUGCGUAGAUAUAGGAAGGAACACCAGUGGUGAAGGCGACUACCUGGACUGAUACUGACACUGAGGUGCGAAAGCGUGGGGAGCAAACAGGAUUAGAUACCCUUGUAGUCC
rnacentral:rRNA from 1 species